CAGAGGGGGCAAGCGUUGUUCGGAAUUAACUGGGCGUAAAGGGCGACGUAGGCGGCCUUCUAAGUCGAACGUGAAAUCCCCGGGCUCAACCCGGGAACUGCGUCCGAUACUGGGAGGCUUGAAUCCGGGAGAGGGAUGUGGAAUUCCAGGUGUAGCGGUGAAAUGCGUAGAUAUCUGGAGGUAACACCGGUGGACGAAAGGCGGCAUCCUGGACCGGUAUUGACGCUGAGGCGCGAAAGCCAGGGGAGCAAACGGGAUUAGAUACCCCGGUAGUCCUGGCCCUAAACGAUGAAUGCUUGGUGUGGCGGGUAUCGAGUCCCUGCCGUGCCGAAGCUAACGCAUUAAGCAUUCCGCCUGGGGAGUACGGUCGCAAGGCUG
rnacentral:rRNA from 1 species